rnacentral:rRNA from 1 species
UAAUUUUUUCUAUUAGGGAUAAGCUUAAUAGAAUUUCUUUAAAUAAAAAUUAUUUAUUUAAAUAAGGAAUAAAAUUUUCUAAGUUUUUUUGUAAAAAAUUUUUUUAUUAUUCAAGUUAUGUAAGAUUUUUAUAUGAUUAAAUUAAUUUUUUUUUUAAUAAAAUUAUUAAAAAAUUAGUAAAUUUAAAAAAAAAGUAAUGAAAAAUUAAAAUAUAUUAAUAAAAUGAAAAUUUAAUUAUAGUAAUUCGGCAAAUUAAUUUAAUUGACUGUUUAUCAAAAACAUUUCAUCUUGAAAAGUAAUAAGAUGUAUAAUCUGCUCAAUGAUUUUUUAAAUUGCUGUGGUAUUUUGACUAUACAAAGGUAUUGAAAUAAGAUUUUAAAUGAGUGCUAAGAGAAUGAUUUAACAAUUAAAAGCUUUCUUUAAUUAAAAAAUUAAAUUUAAUUUUUUUAGUGCAAAAGCAAAAAUAAAAUUUAGGGACAAGAAGACCCUAUGAAUUUUUAUUGUUAAUAAUUAAAAUUUAAGUUAUUAAUAAUUUAAUUGGGGCGAUAAAAAAAGAAUAAGUAUCUUUUUAGUUAUAAAAUAAGUUCCGUUUUUAACGAUUAAAUGAAAUAAAUACUCUAGGGAUAACAGCGUAAUAAUUUUGGAUAGUUCAUAUAGAUAAAAUAGUUUGCGACCUCGAUGUUGGAUUAGGAUUC